AGCCAUGCUUGGUUAUAGCCUUUCUCCCUGAUCUGAACCUAAUCUGUGGAGAGUCCUCCAGGCUUGUUCCGCAAUGCCAUGGCUCUGACUGGCAGUCACUGGACCUGAUCCUAACCCAUGGAUUGACUUCCUGGAUUGACUCUGGAUGUGCUUCAUCAUGGUUAUACAGCAUUAUCAUCUGGACACUUACUUGAGCCAGGCUGCCAUCUCUGUGUCUGCUGUGCUUGCCUCACUCAGGUUUGUUACAAGGGAUUAAAAGAACAUUUCACCAUGUUAUGUGUCUGGUCAGACAACACCUGGCAGGCCAGCCAAGGGAUAUGAAUGUUCUUCUCAUCUGAAGGGUUGUCUCAAGGAGCAUCGUCUACAGGUACAGGGAGGUGAGCAAUAACAAUCAUGAAAUACUGCAUACACAACUUUUCAUCCAGGAGUGUGCAAGGCUGACUCCAC